UACAGAGGGUGCAAGCGUUGUUCGGAAUUAUUGGGCGUAAAGCGCGUGUAGGCGGCUUUGCAAGUCGGGUGUGAAAGCCCUCAGCUCAACUGAGGAAGUGCGCCCGAAACUGCAGAGCUUGAGUGCCGGAGAGGGUAGCGGAAUUCCCCAAGUAGAGGUGAAAAUUCGUAGAUAUGGGGAGGAACACCGGUGGCGAAGGCGGCUACCUGGACGGUGACUGACGCUGAGACGCGAAAGCGUGGGUAGCAAACAGG
rnacentral:rRNA from 1 species